rnacentral:rRNA from 1 species
UGGGGAAUAUUGGACAAUGGGCGCAAGCCUGAUCCAGCCAUGCCGCGUGAGUGAUGAAGGCCCUAGGGUUGUAAAGCUCUUUCACCGGUGAAGAUAAUGACGGUAACCGGAGAAGAAGCCCCGGCUAACUUCGUGCCAGCAGCCGCGGUAAUACGAAGGGGGCUAGCGUUGUUCGGAUUUACUGGGCGUAAAGUGCACGUAGGCGGACUAUUAAGUCAGGGGUGAAAUCCCGGGGCUCAACCCCGGAACUGCCUUUGAUACUGGUAGUCUUGAGUUCGAGAGAGGUGAGUGGAAUUCCGAGUGUAGAGGUGAAAUUCGUAGAUAUUCGGAGGAACACCAGUGGCGAAGGCGGCUCACUGGCUCGAUACUGACGCUGAGGUGCGAAAGCGUGGGGAGCAAACAGG